UACGUAGGGUGCAAGCGUUUGUCCGGAUUUAUUGGGCGUAAAGAGCUCGUAGGCGGUUUGUCGCGUCGUCUGUGAAAACUCGAGGCUCAACCUCGAGCUUGCAGGCGAUACGGGCAGACUUGAGUACUGCAGGGGAGACUGGAAUUCCCGGUGUAGCGGUGAAAUGCGCAGAUAUCAGGAAGAACACCCGUGGCGAAGGCGGUCUCUGGGACGGUACUGACGCUGAGACGCGAAAGCGUGGGGAGCGAACAGG
rnacentral:rRNA from 1 species